rnacentral:lncRNA from 1 species
CCCGGGCCGGCAUCAGAAGCGCUUCCCGCUGGAGCUGCGCCGCGUCUGAACCGGAGCGAUCAAUGCGAUCACACGCGCGCGUUCUUCCUGCCCACAGUCGACGGCACGUCACGCUCUCUUGCGUCAUCACGUCUUAAAGGCGCAGCCGCACAAACCCCGCUCCUCUGUUGUGGACGGUAGCUGCUGGAAGGGAUACAGCUGCGGCCGGAAGUUAACGAGAAUUAUUUAUAUUGUUUAUUAAAUUAAACAUUAUUUGCAUUUUAUUAACGACUUCCCCAGCCCAACACUCACACUGAUGGAAAAACAGCAAUUAUACUCAGUAUUAUUCAGAUUAUUUAUUAAAUUACCCAUUAAAUUGUAUUUUAUUAACAGUCUCGGCUGGGUCAGUUGGUGUUUCUGUGUGGAGUUUGCAUGUUCUCCCCGUGUUGGUGUGGGUUUCCUCCGGGUGCUCCGGUUUCCCCCACAGUCCAAACACAUGCGCUAUAGGGGAACUGAUCAACUACACUGACUGUAGUGUAUGAGUGUGUGUGUGUGUAUGGGUGUUUCCCAGUGAUGGGUUGCAGCUGGAAGGGCAUCCGCUGUGUAAAACAUGUGCUGAAUAAGUUGGCGGUUCAUUCCACUGUGGCGACCCCUGAUGAAUAAAGGGACUAAGCCGACAAGAUAAAUGAAUGAAUGAAUUUGAUUAAGUUGUACCCUACCCCAACCCUCACUGUGAUGUAAACAGUAUUUAUAGUGAAUAUUGUUCAUAUUAUUAGUCAUAUUACUCAUUAAUUAAUAUCUACCAAAGACAUUAAUAAAGAUAAUGAUAUGAA